UACGCGGCGGGUGUCGAGCGAAAAAAGCACACAGAGAGAAUGACCCACGAGAAAGGGAAAGGGGAAAACACCAAUCCUCGGGGCGCUGGGCUUUUUCGACUUUUCCUUUAAAAAGAAAAAAGUUUUCAAGCUGUAGGUUCCAAGAACAGGCAGGAGGGGGCCGAGGCGGGGGGUUUUGCAGAACAGGCGGCCGGUCGGUUAUGAGUCACAAGUGGGUUAUAAAAGGGUCGCACGUUCGCUGGCGCGGGCUUCCUGUGCGCGGCCGGCCACGUCGGGCCGCCUGCAGCCUCGGGACCGGAGCAGACGCGAGCGCGGGGACAGCGGAGGCCGCCCGGGCCACCAGCAUGACUACCACCUCACUUCACUUUCAUAGAUCUUCUAAGGCACAGCUGGACUCAGUGAAUUCAUAUCCUCUCUGUCCAAAGAGAGUCAGAGUAAGUAAGUACCAGGAUCAUUGACUGGAGAAUGUAUGGCUGUCUUUCACUGAUCUUACUGACUUCAAAGCUAUCACAAAUUGGCUGAAAUUGGACAGAGUAUGAAAAUUGUGAAACCCUUUUUUGAGGAGAAAUGUUAAAAUUUUAAAAGCCUCUCUUUAUCCCACCUUUGCGCUGACUCCAUCUUCCUUAAAUGUAUUACCUUUAUCUCAGUCUCUUAAGGAAAACAACACUUUUAAUUUGAUGACUGCUGUGUAAUUCUCACCCACCAUGAAACACCGAAGCCCUGUCCAUCAGUCUUGUUUUGGGGUUUGCAAUAGUCAGGGCCAAAAGCACACUUAUCCUCAAAGUAACACGUCGCACGUCUGAGCAGUUCAGCAUCCUCACUCACACGACUCUCAGCAAUAUGGAAGAACCAUGAACCAAAGAGCAUAGUUCCCACCCCUACACACAAUGACAUACUAGCCAGAAAAAGAGACUUCACAUCAGUCAAGUGGUAUGGUUUAAGGCAGACUGUGCCAAUUUGGUACCAUUUCAGUACCCAGUUCUGAAAAACAACAUCCACAUGUGGGCAGAUGGGAGUUAAGGCAAAGGCAGAAAGAUCAGUGAAGAAUAUCAAACAGCUGAUUUAAUGAAAUUGUGGGGCUGGUGUUUGGGUAAGGCAAAAUGACAUACGAUGAUGACAUUUGUGUAAUUCUCCAUAAUGAGAAUGUUCUAUACCCAGUGGAAGUCCCUGGCUGUCCUGACCAGAUGCAGUGUUCCUUUAUGUUGCGCACCACCAUCGGGCCAGCAGAGUGAUUCAGAGCGUGGACGCUGGAGCCAGACUGCUCGAGUUUGUCUUCUAGCAGGGCCCCCGCCUACCCACUCUCCAACCUGGGGCAAACGACUGCCCCUGCCUGAGCCUCAGGGCCACCAGGGAUCAGUGGGGAAGAUGAUAAAACUCAUUCCCAAGGCCAUUCUGAGGAAUAAGAAGUCAAACUCCUGUCUGGCCCAGAGACCCAUAUAAGUGUUUGCAAUUAGUUUGUAUGCAUGGGUGAUCUUGCAUAUUUCAAGAAACCAAUUUGGAAAGUGAGAUACAAAGAUGAUUUGAGAAAGUAAAGGGUAUAGGUACAAAAUGGUCUCUAGAAGUUCUGGACAAGGUAAACACUUGUUUGGUCGUAAUGAGUUUUUAAGAGUUUCAUAACACAUGUUUUUUUUCCUCCUUAACCCAAAGAAAAACUAAUAAGACACUUCAGAAAAUUCCUAAGGAAACAUUUUGAUGUACCUUUAUGAUUCGGAGAUUAGGACACCAAAGAAUUAUUUUCACUUGACUUGUGUUUGUUGAUAACCUCUAAUUUACGGAAUGGUUCAGUCACACAGUUGUAAAUGUAUCUUGGACUUUUCAAAUGACAGGUGCAACAGGUGGUAGCUGGACAGGUACCUUCAGGUCCUCCGCAGGGAUUCAUGACUGAUGCCGCGAGUACCGCGGCUAACAUCCACUGAGCCUUGAUUAUGAGCCUAGCACCCACCCUCAGUGUUUCACCUUCAUCGUGUCAUUUCAUCUUCACAGCGACCUUCUGAGUAAGUUCUAGCACUGUCUUCAAUUUUAAAGAAGCAACUAAGACUUAGAGAGUUUAGUUAAAUUGCCAAAUGUCACACAGCUAGGAACACUGCUGGGGUCAAGAAUGGAACCCAGGCAGGUUGAAAACAACAGAGCAGGAACACUCCGAGACCUUCCACUUAGACUCACAGCAUUUGUCACAUCUGCCUUCUUUCUCUCUGUCCCUAUCCAUCUGUCUUCCUCUCUAGGUCGAUGUCUGUAUCACCUCUGACAUCUAACCUCUAAAUGCUUGGACACAUAGCACCUAAGAAUAAGAGCACACUCCUCCACGAUGAAAUGAAAACACAUAUUAUGACAUCCAAGGGUGGUUUUAAAAAACAACAACCUAAUUUUUACCCAUAACUUCAGAUGACUAUUUCUGGUAGUAUUCUCCAGCUUUAUCCUACAAUGAUCAUACUUAGUGGAAUGAGAUCCAAGCCUGGAAUCCCCUAAAUGUAAGCAGUCCAUUACUAAUGUGGAAUAGCACCAGACCUCAUUGAUGUAUUUCCACAUUUAUAAGCUUCUAUGACACUAAUUCUCCAAAAAUCUGCAUAUUAGUUCAAUGCCCCUGACUGCUCCAGUGCCAGAGCCAAGCCAGUUGUGUAGACAGAAAUGCCUUGGAAGUACCUCAAGGGUUUACUCACAGCAUUUACCGAGUGUCAGUCGUGUAGGAGGCACUGAGGUGGGACCCAGUCUCUGCCUUCACAUACACCUCAGCCCCAGGGAAGAGACCAGAGAAAAUCACAGCAUGGUGUCAAGGCAGCUGUGACCGAAGUCAGAGCCAGGACCUGGGGGAGGCAGAGCGAGGGGGUCACACCAAGAGCUGAAGAGAGCCCCGCCUCCAGGAGUUUACUGUCUGUGAGAGACAGAAAUAAGGCAAGGUGAGCAAGUCCAUAUCUGAGGAGCAAUUUCAGGAGGUAGACAGUGCCUGAGUGUACAUAGAACAUUACAGCACCAAACACGACCCUCAUUUGGCAUGUUUAAGACACGGAGUAGAACGCCGUGGAGAUGUAAGUAAUAAACGGUAGAGUGUUUGCCUUGUUAACAGGGUAUUCCCAUACAUCGUAAGAAAACCUUUAAGCAGGCAAAACCAAACCUUUGUUCCCAGAACUUGCUCAGUUUGUCUGACAUAGUUCCCAGUACACAAAUUCGUCCUUGUUUGGGGCCAUGAUGGUGUGUAGAAAUAAAGAAAUGGAAACUGUGGCUUGUAGAAAUAGAAAAGAGGACUUUUCCUAGGAUGCCAGACAUAAGGGCCCCAGCACAUGUAAUGGACAAACAGGUUAGCCAUAGUGAGUUCAAAAGGAGGCAUUGUGCUGAAAUUCCAUGUUGAGAAUAAACACUGUGAACUCAAGUGGAGGAGGAGGAGGUGGUCUCUAGAAAAGGUAACUCUUCAAAGGAUGACAGAGCACUCCAGAGUUGAUAACUGCCAUCAUGUUUCCUUUUUCCCUCGGGGAGUUGGGGAUGGGGGCGUGGGAAGGAUAUUGAAAAUAAAUUAUAAACCAAAAAAAAGAAAAUUAUGAUUACAAUUCUCUUAUGGAAAUAUAAUAUUAAAAAGUUUAAGUCGUUAGGCAUGUGGAAAACCUGAGAACUUAUGAAAGAAGAGUGAAUGGCCAUGAUUUAGAGCAAAAGAGUGCAUCUCCCCCCUGAGCUCUCUCCUUCCUGCUCUUGUUUUUAUUCAUGUUUGUUUGAUAACAUUUUCCCCAAGUUUGGGGCCGGCAGCUGAGCUGGUGUGAGGUUGGGGUGUUGAGGAAGGCCCCCCCACUCCGUGACACGCUGGUUCAGGAUGGGGGGCUGGACUCAGGCUGGCUCUAGCCCUCCUUCUGGCUCUGGGGGCAAAUACUUCUAACCUGUUUCUUCCCACAUUCUUAUCUGAAAAGUGAAGGUGUUAAUCACUGUCUGCAAUAAAUCUAUUGGGAAGGCCGCUUAGCUUGUACAUAAGAUCCACAAGUGGUUUCAGUAAAAACUUCCUGGUUUUAAAAGUGGGAAAAGCAGAAUAAGCCUCUAUGGUCCAGAUUCUUUCUCAUUUGUACAUUCACAGUUAAGCAGCCGCUCAAUAUGAUGUUUCCAUAGUGAUCCUGUGAAUUCCACAUUGGCUUUCUUCUGAGACAGUUCAGAAGUAUGUCACACUUAGUUUUAUGUGUUAUUAUCAUUACUGGCAUAUAUCUUUAAAAAUAUUCAUUUUCUGUAUUUCAAAAUACGGAAGGGUAUGUUGUAUUAAAGCUGUCUCAUGUGCAAACCAGUCUUUUCAACAGGAGCUCUUAAUUUAGAAAUAGUCGGUAUUUUCAUUAAAGAAUUCCUAAUUAGAACUAUCAAAGGAUGUUAGAUUUUUGUGAAAGUAGAUGACAGAGAGUUGAUCAUUUUUUCCCCAGCAAUGGCCUAUACAGGGAAUUUUUCUUAAAUAUAAGAAAAAAGUUAAUGAUAUAAAAAGUAAUCUUACCAUUCACCAAGAGGUCAGGAUAUGGGUGACUGACAGAACAAUCCAUUUUACUUUCAGAAGAUGCAUUUGUGUGCUUUUGAAGACAUGAUCCCAGUUACUUACCAUCUCAAUCAACCCCUUUUUACUGUUGGAACUCGGGUGAAUUCAAGAGAAACAUAAUAUUCUUUGCCCCAUUUCCUGACAGCACAGAAGUUGACUUAACUUUAAAAUCAGUUACUGACAGGGCACCUGGGUGGCUCAAUCGUUAAGCGUCUGCCUUCAGCUUGGGUCAUGAUCCCAGAGUCCUGGGAUAGAGCCCCAAGUUGGGCUCCCUCAGCAGGGAGCCUGCUUCUCCCUCUCCCUCUGCCCUUCCCCCUGCUGGUGCGCUCUCUCUCUCUCUCUCUCUCGCUCUAUCUCAAAUAAAUCUUAAAAAUGAGCUACUGAGAUGUGACACAGAAUAAUCAUAUUCUACAGAAAACAUGUGAUAAAAAAAUUCACACAAAUAAACAGUUUAGAAAACCAGUCACUUGAAUAUUUCUUUUUGUCACAAUACUAAAGGUCUUUAUGAAGAAUUACUGAGAGAAUACACUUUUUAGGAGAUUUUAGACCAUGUAGGAAGUUCAGACACAGAGGACUGAACUAAAACUCAGGUGAUACUAUUUUAAAUCAUCUGACUGUUCUAGGCUGGACAUGGAAAGGAUGAGCUCUUGAAAUAUUUGGAGUAUAUUCUCAUCUCUCCUCUAAAUCAUUCUUUAUCCCCAUUAAAACUUUCCCACCUUGAGUCCUCUCUCCUCACUCCUUUAUCUCUGCUUCCAAAGAUGGGUAGCUAACUAACCUACUAAGUCAAAGUCAAAGUGCCAGUGGGAGGGGCUUCAACUCAACCUUUUCCUCCCUCUCCAGAUGACUUCUUUCCAUUUCAACAACAGCUCACCUAAACCUUACCUGCCACCUUGCUUCUCCCACCGAAAGAAGAUGAUUCUAGUUGUGAGAAAUUCAGACUAAGUGGAAGGUUAGGGAAGCACUAGCAGAUGUAGAAUUUUUAGAGGGGCAGGUCUUUGAGAAAUCAUAUCUGCAGCCACCUUCAUCUUUUGACCUUAGGUCAAAAUAGUAAUCAAGAAAAUUGUCAUUCCAAAAAAAAAAAAAAAAGAAAAGAAAAUUGUCAUUCCAAAGAUUAACCAUGACAGGUCCAGAUUUUCUCAGGAUCUUGAUCUUCACAUACCUGCCUUAAUCUUCACUGCUUACUUUCAUGACCUGAGCCAAAACAGCAACUUCAGAAUAUAGGGAAUCAGAGUAACUUCCGUUGGGAACACCAGAUAAUGCUUCCUUAGGCAAUCAGUCACUAGUCGCUUUGAGUGAUUGGAUCCAAAUAGGGAUCAACAUUGAAUUCCAUUUUAAUGAUUAUGGUUUUGACUGGUAUAUAAGAAAAUUAAAUAAAUGUAGGGAAUACUUAAAAGAAAUUAUCUGAAUUUAACCAUUUUAAUUUUCAAAAGCAUAAUUACAUUUCACGCAUUAAAAUGGCUUUGGAUGAGAAUUUGUACUGCUACAUCAAUACAGGAUCGUGCCUUUCAGCAGAAAUUCAUGUACAUUCACUUCGUAACAACAAAUUAAUAGUUUCCAAGUAUUUGCACGUUUCAGGAUGAAAAAACUCAUGAUGGCUUAGUUAUGAGAUUCAACCACUGUGACUUUUUUAAAAGAAAAUGUUGGGCACCUGGGUGGCUCAGAUGGUUAAGCGUCUGCCUUCGGCUCAGGUCAUGAUCCCAGGGUCCUGGGAUCGAGUCCCACAUCGGGCUCCCUGCUCCUUGGGAGCCGGCUUUUCUCUCUCUCUCUCUCUCUCUCUCUCAUGAAUAAAUAAAUUUUAAAAAAAAGAAAAGAAAAGAAAAUGUUAUGGCAUGCAGUUCUUUUGGUAUGCAAAUAUUAAGUAGUUGAUGCUAGGAAUAAGAAAAAUGGGAAAAUACAGAGACAUAUAAAAUUGUGGAAGGAUAUAACUUAUGAUUCAUUAUGAAAUGUGAUCCUUAGUGACAAACUUAGGACAUAUUCUGUUCUGGAUAUAUAGCUGAUAUCAUCUUUCCUGGCAAAUCAGUAAGGUAAGAAUUAAAGGAUUGGGGUACUUGGCUGGCUCAGUUGGUAGAGCAUGCAACUCUUGAUCUUGGCAUUGUGACUUUGAGCCCCACGUUGGGUGCAGAGCUUACUUUAAGAAAAAAAAAAAAGUCAUUCUUUAGAAAAGCUUAAUUUGAGGAAAAUUUUCCCAGAAUGCUCCUUUCAGUUCUUACUACCAGAGGAAAAGUAGUCCUGCCAUAUGAUGAAAGGUACCUGGUAGUCUUAUUUAUCUAGUAUAUAUCUAGGGCUUCAUCUUGGCAGAUUUUUAUCCAAGGUGAGAAGGGGUGGUUUUGAUGCUUGAUUACUUUGAAGUACUAACCUGGAACCUAUCUUCAGCUACUGAAAAGAAUUGUGCAAUAGGUAAAGCUUAUCUUGACAGUGGAUGUGAGCCUAAAAGUAUUGUGGAGUGAGGGCUUUGAAGCAGGUCUUCAGAACCACUCUCGUCAAGACUCCUGUUCUAAUUUAUAUUGUGUGGUCCAGAGAAAUUUCUCUUGUAUUGCCAAACAUUGCAAAUUAUGCUCGUCACGUUCUUAUCAAAUGCUUAGCAGCUAUUGACUGUUGAUUGCUGGGUCUAGAAUUGUGUCCAAUUCGUCCCUUGCCACCCUACCAGUGGGGUGGCUGUAUUCAUCCCUCACUGCUUCAUGACAGCAUCUUCUGCCCAGUGUCUUGGCUCUUAGCCCAGCCUUUGUUGUCUGUGAUCACUAGUUUCUGCUCAGACGUAUAGCAAUUCUGUUGUUGGUUAACUUGGUUGACAAGCCUAGUUAAAAACACUGAAAGUGAGCUCAACUUCAACACUAAUGGGCCUUCUGGCCAAUCUAAUGUCUACAAGUCUACUGAAUGUACUUCUUAAAAAGCUAUUCUAGGAUAUUUUCUCCUUCCUUCUGUUUAUUGGGGUUUUUUUCCUCUCUCAUUAUGUUUUUAAUGAGAUUUAAGAUUGUGUAGUAGAGUCAGACAAACUGCUCAUUCUCUGCACUUUUAGGAAUUCAUCAUGCCUGAGAAGUUUAUCCAAAUACAUGGUACCACAGUUUCUCCUUGAGCACUGAGAUCAAAAGAGGAUCUGCAUGAUGCUUUUCAUUUCAGCAUACCUUCAGAGUUUGAGCUAAUAAAACAAAAGCUGUUUAGAAUGUUUAGUAUAUAGCACAUUGUAAAAAACAUUUGUCACUCUUCUGAGCACUCCAAUCAGGCAAUUUGUGAAAAAAGAUGAAAGACAAAAAAAUCCAAUUACUAUACUAAAUGUAUUUUUUUAAUACUUGUAUUCAGAUGUCAUCUUUAAAGAACAGGAGAAAAAUGUAUGGGUAGAAUAGUAGGCAAAUAAUUUACUUUCAAUAUGAAUUAGACAUAGCUCUUUAAAAAAGGGUUGAAUUAUAUUGGUUGGGGAGGAACCAGCAUAAAGAUAUUAAUAUAUAUGGAGUAUUUACUAUAUUUAAGGCACUGUGGCUAGGGGGAAAAAGUUAUUUUUACAGUCUUUAUUGAGUGAAAAAUCUGUAAAAGGUAUUAAAAUCCUCAACUGACAUCAUUUAAUUCAAAGCUCUUCAUCUUUAAGUUAAUUCAUCUCAAAAACAGCAAAGGUAAGAAAAAAAUUACUAUCAGUAAGAAUGAUAUAUUUCCUUGGUUUGGAAAUUUCCAAACCACGGUAUUCUGCCCUGUCAAAAUACGUUCAUUGGGGAAUUUUUAAGUUUAUAACUUCUUUUGAACUUAAUCACAGUUUUACAUCUAGCUGGUUUCAUGAUUAAAUAAAAGAGAAGGUGAUUCCCCUCUUGUACUGAGGAGACCACAUACUUGAAUGGUACUCUUAACUUCUAGGUUCUGCUAUAUAGUAACACUGAAACCAGAAGCUUGUGGGAGAAAUGUCAUUUUAUCUGAGAGACUAAAAUCAGACUGUAACAGGAAGUAGCAAAUUCAUCUUUUUCUUUUUUCUUAAUCCACUCCUUGCUGAAGACAAGAAGUUUGAGAAACAUCACUUUUUAAGUCAUACUUCCUUUAUGUAGAUCAAAACCAAAGCCACUGGGUGGUGCUUUCCCCACAGGAAUCUCUAAAGAGCAGAUGGGGCCAUUUAAUGGUGGAUUCAUUUAUAGGAGAGACCCCCAUUGUGUGUACCAUACCUCUUGAAAAAUAAAUAAAGGUAAAGACUCAACUGUAUACUACAGAAUAAAAAAUCUAGCCCAAAUUUGACCUUUAUAAACCAGGUGAAUUCAGGUUUAAUUUUCACAAAUCAUAAAACACUAUUUUGAAUUAUUUUGGCCUUUUACUUAAAUGAUCUAGUUCCCAGGUAAAACGUAAAUCAAAAAAGAUAGUACUGUCAGAACUCAAGAUCGCCUCUUUACAUUUUAGCAUGUGGCAACUUUGAAGACUUGUUUUGGUUUUGUUUUAAAAGAAGACGAUACAUAUACAUAAAUAAUUCAGAAUUUAAAAUAUAAAUUUAAAAAUAGCCCUCAGAGGGCGCCUGGGUGGCUCAGUCGGUUAAGCGGCUGCCUUCAGCUCAGGUCAUGAUCCUGGAGUCCCGGGAUCGAGUCCCGCAUCGGGCUCCCUGCUCAGUGGGGGGUCUGCUUCUCCCUCUGACCCUCCCCUCUCUCAUGCUCUCUGUCUCAUUCUCUCUCUCAAAUAAAUAAACAAAAUCUUUAAAAAAAAAAUAAAUAAAAAUAAAAAUAGCCCUCAGAUACACUUAAAGGUAAAAAUGUCUUUUAAUCGCCAGUUUCUCUACCCUUUUCAACAAAUCACUUCCUGGGAUUUAAUGAGCUCAUGCUCUCCCUUAGGAGGAAAGUAAAGACUGUUUUUGCUUUCAGAUUUAUAUUCCCUCACUCCAGCUUUAUGAUUACAUGUGCACACACAACCAUCUCUCUCUCUCUUGCAGGUGGCGCAGACCAGGAAGGGGAAAUCUGUGGUUUAAAUUCUUUAUGCCUCAUCCUCUGAAUGCUGGAGGCUUGCUGUAGGCUGUAUGCUGUUAAUGCUAAUCGUGAUAGGGGUUUUUACCUCCGACUGACUCCUACAUGUUAGCAUUAACAGGGUAUGAUGCCUGUUACUAGCAUUCACUGGAACAAAUUGCUGACCUGGGAGGAUGACAAAGAAGAAUCAGUCACCCUGCUGGAUAAACUUAAGACUUCAGGCUUUAUUAUUUUUGUUAAUCAUAAUCUGGUCACCGAGAUGUUCUGCCAUCAGUUUUUAAGAGAGUAAGGUCAUUCGAAAGAUUUAUCAGCAGCAUUCUGAAUGCAGACACUUUUACGCGAAUCUUCAAGCCCACAUCUUUGUUUGGAUCUUUAGUGGAAAACGUAUUUGCGUCGUUUUUGAUUCAAAGUUAUGGUGUGUUCAUUGUUACUGUUCAGAAGCACUUUUCAUAACUCAACUGAAAGAAAUAUGGACUAAACACAUUCUGAAAUAAAUUCCUAGAAUAUCUUCAUAGUUAAAAAUUAGAAGGACCCUCCAGUUACAUCAAGAUGGUCCGGCAACAGUUUUAAACAGAUUUACAAAUUGGCAUGUUUUUUCCUUCGUUUUACAGUUUUCUAUUCAGACAACUUUAGUUUGAAGUUAGCACUUUUAUCUGAAUCUUAAGGGGUAAUUAUAAGGCUAUAACAAUGAGUGUUUUUUAGAAAUGAAAUAUUUUUACCAAUUAGCAUGGUAAAUGAUGUCUGAGAGAUAACCCCUCCCUUUUCCCUACAAGAUACAAAGGCUUAAUAAAAAAAUUUCAUAUUUGAAAUUAAGUCCCAAAUCUAGGCUCAAGUUUAAUAGCUUGGCCACAUAAUCAUGUCAUGGGGGUCAAAGAAUCCACUUUUCCUCUCAAAGCCCCACAAGAUGGGGCUAAUACUUUACAAGGUCAGUGUGAGGUUUAUGUGAAAUAGAACUAUUUUGUAAAAUAGAAAGUUACAUUAAUGUUAUAGUAAAAUUCAUCCAAGAACUAGCACCCCCCCCCCACUUUGUUAGAGAAAAGCUAAUGAUUUGAUUUACAGAAUUGUUCAGGUUUGGAUUUCUCUGCAGUUUUUUUUUCCAUAAUUGACUAUAUCAUUUACAAAUAAAUAGUUAAUUGUAACUGUUGGCAUAUUUAGUGUAUACUUGUAUUAGCAACUCUUCUCAACAUUUUGUCAGUUACGCACUGUAACCAAAUAAACCUCUUUUAGUCA